rnacentral:rRNA from 1 species
UUGAACCGCAUGGUUCGAAAUUGAAAGGCGGCUUCGGCUGUCACUUAUGGAUGGACCCGCGUCGCAUUAGCUAGUUGGUGAGGUAACGGCUCACCAAGGCAACGAUGCGUAGCCGACCUGAGAGGGUGAUCGGCCACACUGGGACUGAGACACGGCCCAGACUCCUACGGGAGGCAGCAGUAGGGAAUCUUCCGCAAUGGACGAAAGUCUGACGGAGCAACGCCGCGUGAGUGAUGAAGGCUUUCGGGUCGUAAAACUCUGUUGUUAGGGAAGAACAAGUGCUAGUUGAAUAAGCUGGCACCUUGACGGUACCUAACCAGAAAGCCACGGCUAACUACGUGCCAGCAGCCGCGGUAAUACGUAGGUGGCAAGCGUUAUCCGGAAUUAUUGGGCGUAAAGCGCGCGCAGGUGGUUUCUUAAGUCUGAUGUGAAAGCCCACGGCUCAACCGUGGAGGGUCAUUGGAAACUGGGAGACUUGAGUGCAGAAGAGGAAAGUGGGAAUUCCCAUGUGUAGCGGUGAAAUGCGUAGAGAUAUGGAGGAACACCAGUGGCGAAAGGCGACUUUCUGGUCUGUUACUGA